CCGCUCCAGCGCUGCGCUGUCGCGGGGGGGCCGCCUGCUGCAUCCCCAUGCCUGCGGCUGCAGAAACGCGCUCCCAGCACGCCUACGGCCAGCCAACACAAUGGAAACGCAGCCGUGAAGGACCAAUUCGUUUUAUUGUUGAGACAGCGCUACGGUACAACCGAGUGGCCCGGUGCGCCAGGCCGCCGCGCCAGGGCGGUCGGGGCAGCCCCCUCAGCGGCCCCGGCCGCGCGCACCCACAGCCGCCCGGGGAGCUCCGGGCCGGGACACGGGGCCGGGCCCGCCACGGUGCCGCUGCCCGCGGCCGGGCGGGCUCCGAGGCGCUGCGAGGCACCUUCUGCCGGCAGCGGGGAGGGGGCCGGGGGCCUGCCGAGAGCGGCGGGCAGUUUUCUGCAGGGCUUGACCUGAAAGGAAGCCAGGCUUAGGAACUCGUGCAGCUUUCCGCCCACGUGCAUGAAUGGUGGCCUGUAACAUUUUAAAAGGGUAAAGCUCAGGAAACAGGAAGUUUGCUCGGGCUGAAAUAGUCAAACCAUUCAUCGCCCUAUGGACCAUCUGCACUCUGGUCAUGGGGAACAUUGCUGGGUGCCACUUAAGGGCUGGUGCUCUUGAGUAUUAUCUCCAGUAUUUUUUAUAAAUUUACCACUGUAACUACAUGCUUUUAGAUCUCUCAAUGGAAAAAACAGCCCAUAUAAAGGGUUUAAUUUUCAGUGGCCUUUGUUUUACAAGUAUGCACUCUGACGGUCGUGUCAUGCCAGUGAAGAUCACCAUGGUAUCACAGCAGAGCCCCUCCUGCAUACAGAGAUGUGUGUUUGCUGUGCAUAAGCAUUACUCAACAUGGCAAGUGUCUGUGCAAAGGAAAAGCUGCUGUGCUUACUGCUUGUCUAAAACCAGGACAGGAUCAAGUAUGCAAUCCAACAAGGAAGGUCUUUAAAUUCCAACACAUCACUUCAUAUCCCACUUUUUGCAAAAUGAAAAUCUGUGUUCAGGUUUUGGCAGUCUGACUCAAGACCAUAUUUCUGAAAUCACAGACUUUAAUGGAAACACAAAGUUGAUACACAAAACAACAUCUGAAAACAGAUCUGAAACAUCUAAAUUGGACUGUAAGUGACAGGAGCAAGCUUUGGUAGAAUUGGAUUAUUUAGAAUAACCAUCACAACGCUAACAACGAGUCACUCGGGAUUUACAUCCCAACAUUUGUAGCAAACAAAAGGUUACCCUUAACCAUGGUAGAUUACAAAUAAAGACAAAAGUAGUGCUGAUCAUUUACUCUUCCACAUAGAACAUGACUCACAGUCUGAUUGUUCUCCCAAAUACCAAGUCACUGUUGUAAGGACAACAUUUUUAUGCCUUAACAAAUUCCAAUGACAUUUUCCUUGUGUAGUUUCAACAGCAGAGUUUUAGACCAAUUUUGCUGUGCAAGUGUUAUUUAUUUGUGACUUUCACGGUAAUAGGUUUAUUUGGAAUUAUGUUAUGGCAGUGUCCUGUGCAUGGCAGUCUCUCCAAUUUGGAGCUGAGAGGAGGUCUCCAACCCACUUAACAAGACUGCAAACAAAAUCUCUGUACUUGAAUAUCUGCAAAAGGUGUGCUGAGGCAGAGGACCUCCUGUGGCAGAGCUGCAGGAGGUGGUGAGAAGGCUACAUAACUUCAGGAAGGCUGGGAAGGAGUUGGAUGGCUGGUUCCAAGGGCAGCCUGCAGUAUGCCACACCCAAAGAGGCAAAAACUCCCCCACUAUGCACACACAGAAGGGAGGAGGGGGGUCAGUAAGGCAGAACAGUGGACACUUGAAAUGACAAGGACCUGCUGGAGGAAGAGACUUCCCUGAAGCCUGAGGUGCCCCUGCAGAACCACUUCUGCACUCUGCAAGCUGGAGAGGGAGGGCCCAUCACAUCAGGAGAGAGGCUGGAGCUGAGUAAGGCAGCCCCAUCUGCUCCCUGUGUAACAACCAGCACAACUAAGCAAAGGUGACAGGUGAGAGUAGCAGGGGACUCUCCUCUGAGAGGCACGGAGAGAGCCACUUGUCAGCCUGAUUACCAGAGAGCUGUACCAGGGAUGUCACCCAAAGCAUCAUACCAAGCUUCAUACUGUCUCCUGACCAUUGUCGGCUGCUGCUGUUUCAUGUGUGCACCAGGGAUACAGCCAGGAGUGGUCUGAGGAGGACCAAGGAGAUUACAGAUCCCUGGGAGUGGUGGUGAGGGACUCAGGUGCCGGCAGCUUUUUCAUCAGUCCUCCCUGUCAAAGGGAAGGGCUUUGAAAGGGCCAGGUGAAUCUGGCAAAUCAGCAAAUGGUUAGGGGUCUAGUGCCACAACCAAGGGUCUGGCUACUCCUGGGGACUCACACUGAAAACAUGGGCUGACAGAGUCUGAUGGAGGCCCAUCUGCCUGAGAACGGGCAGAGUAUCUCUGGUCACAGGCUUGCCCAGCUGGUGAAGAAGGCAUUAAAUUGAAGUUGCUGGGAGAGGGAAUCCUCAAUCCAUUCCACUCCUACUAGUUUGAUGCCAGCACCAGCAAGAGAUUUCAAGAGCCUGGAGAGGGAUUGCAAAUCAGCAAGAGAGAAUCUGAAGUGCUGCACAAAGGAAUUCCAGCCAUUCCUGCCAGUAAGUCUGCUCCAUCAGGGGCCCAACUUACAUGCCUUUAUGCAAAUGCACGUAGCACGGGGGAUAAAGAAGAGCAGUGCAAGGCUGUGAUCUUACCAGCAUCAGGUAUGUUGCAGGAUGCUCCUGUGACUGGAGCGUUGGAGUGGGAGGAUACAGGCUCUUUAGGAAGGACAGGCAGGGAACAGGAGAAAGGGGUGUUGCCCUCCAUGUCCACGACCACCUGGAGUGUUUGGAGCUGUGCUUGGGGAUGGAUGAGAAGCUUAUGGGUCACGAUUAAAGGGAGGGCAAGGACAGGUGACAUUAUAGUGGGGGUCUAAGGCCACCCAACCAGGAAGACCAAGCAGAUGAGACCCUCUACAGACAGAUAGGAGCUGCCUCACAUUCACAAGCCCUGGUCCUCAUGGGGGACUUCAACUUCCUCAAUACCCAUUGAGGGGACAACACAGCAGGGCAGGAGGUUCUUGGAAUGCGUGGGUAACUUGCUUCUCCAAGUGACAGAGGAGUAAAUGAGGAGAGUUGCUAUGCUGGACCAUUUUCUUUCCAACAAGGAGAGGCUGGUGGGGAAUGUGAAUCUCAAGGGCAGCCUUGGCUGCAGUGACCAGGAAAUGGUGGAUUCAGGAUCCUCAGGCCAGCGAGGAGGCACACAGGAAGCUCACUAACCUGGACAUCAGGAGGGCACACCUUAGCCUCUUCAGGGAUCUUCGGGAUAGAGUACCAUGGGAUAAAGCCCUGGAGGGAAGAGUGACCCAAGAAAGCUGGUUAAUAUUCAAGGAUCACCUCUUGCAAGGUCAGGAGUGACGCAACAAAGAGGAAAGUCUGGUAAAAACAUCAGGAGACCUGCAUGGAUGAACAAGGAGCUCCUGGACAAACUCAAACAGAAAAAGGAAGCCUAUGCUUCCGCCACAGAAAAAGGGUGAAAGCAAGGACAGAUAGCCUGAGAGGAAUACAGAGAUAUUGUCCAAGCAGCCAGGGAUUAGGUUAGGAAAGCUAAAGCCCUGAUAAGAAUUCCAUCUGGACAGCGACAUCAAGGGCAACAAAGCAAGCUUCUACAGGUACAUUGGUGAAAAUGUGAGCCCUCUCCAGAGAGGAAUGGGAGACUUGGUUACCUGGGACAUGGAGAAGGCUGAGGUACUCAAUGACAUUUUUGCCUUGGUCUUCACCAGCAAGUUCUUCAGCCACUGAGGCCCGAGUUUGCACGAGCCCCUUUGCUGAGGUGGCAAAGGCAGAGAUUGUGAGAAUAAAGAACCACCCACCACAGGGGAAGAUCAGGUGUGGAACCACCUAAGGAACCUGAGGGUGAACAAGUCCAUGGAACCUGAUGACAAAAUGUGGAAAAGAAGGUGACUGGUGACAGCCAACAUGGCAUCACUAAGGGCAAACCCUACAAAUAUCCUUCUAUGACAGGGUUACAGCAUUGGUGGAUAAGAGAAGAGUGAUUGAUGCCAUCUACCUGGACUUGUACAGAGCAAUCGACACUGUCUUACGUGACAUCCUUGUCUUGAAACUGGAGAGGCAUGGAUUUGAUGGAUGGGCCAUGUGGUGGAUGAGGAAUUGGCUGGAUGGUCACACUCACAGUUGCUGUCAACAGUUCAGUGUCCAAGUGGAGACCAGUGGCGAGUGCUGUUCCUCAGAGGUCGGUAUUGGGACUGGCACUGUUUGACAUCUUUGUUGGCGACAUCAACAGCAGGAUUGAGGGCACCCUCAGCAAGUUUUUCAAUGGCACCGAGCCGUGUGGUGCAGCUGACACACCAGAGAGAGGGGAUGCCAUCCACAGGGACUUUGACAGGCUUGAGAGGUGGGCCCCUGCAAACCUCGUGAAGUCCAACAAGGCUAAGAUAAGGUCCUGCACCUGGGUCAGGGCAAUCUCAAGCACAAACACAGGCUGGGUGGAGAAUGGACUGAGAGCAGCCCUGGGGAAAAGGACUUGGGGGUGUUGAUUGAUGAGAUGCUCAACAUGAUCAGGCAGUAUGUUUUUACAGCCCAACAAGCCAACUGUAUCCCAGGCUACCUCAAAACCAGCGUGGGCAGCAGGUCAAGGAGGGAGAUGGGAUGUUUCUCCCAUCUACUCUAUUUUUGUGAGACCCCACCCAAUGUGCUGCAUCAGCUCUGGGGUCCCCAGCAUAAGGAGUUCAUGGACCUGUUGGACUGAGUCCAGAUGAGCGUCACAAAGACCACCAGAGGGCAGAGCAUCUCUCCUAUGAAGACAGGCUGAGAGAGUUUGGGCUGUUCAGCCUGGAGAAGGGAAGGCUCUGGGGAGAC